UACGUAGGGGGCAAGCGUUGUCCGGAUUUAUUGGGCGUAAAGAGCGUGUAGGCGGUUUGGUAGGUCCGCUGUGAAAACUCGAGGCUCAACCUCGAGACGCCGGUGGAAACCAUCAGACUAGAGUCCGGAAGAGGAGAGUGGAAUUCCUGGUGUAGCGGUGAAAUGCGCAGAUAUCAGGAGGAACACCGGUGGCGAAGGCGGUUCUCUGGGCCUGUACUGACGCUGAGGAGCGAAAGCGUGGGGAGCGAACAGG
rnacentral:rRNA from 1 species